UCGGGUUUCUUGCUUCUCCUUAAAAGCAAGUGGUGCGGAUGGGACUCUCUCCCGCCUGGUUUCUUUCUUCCAGUCAAAGAGAAAGUGGUGGUGCCAAAAC
rnacentral:ncRNA from 1 species